AUCCAGCUGAAGAGCCUCAAAUAGGUAGAAACGCGCGUCCUGGAU
rfam:Schistosoma margrebowiei strain Zambia genome assembly, scaffold: SMRZ_scaffold0004338